rnacentral:rRNA from 1 species
UACGGGGGGAGCAAGCGUUGUUCGGAUUUACUGGGCGUAAAGGGCGCGUAGGCGGCGUGGUAAGUCACUUGUGAAAUCUCCGGGCUUAACUCGGAACGGUCAAGUGAUACUGCUGUGCUAGAGUGCGGAAGGGGCAACUGGAAUUCUCGGUGUAGCGGUGAAAUGCGUAGAUAUCUGGAGGAACACCGGUGGCGAAGGCGGCAUCCUGGACCAACACUGACACUGAAAAGCGAAAGCCAGGGGAGCAAACGGG